AACAUGCCCUGUAUGGAGCAGUUACAGAAAUCUCAGUAUGUACAAAAUACCAGUUUUUGUGCAGCCUGGGCCUAUGCAUAUUUAUUUAGGAGUCCCAUUCGGUAUUUUAAGGAGCGGGAUCAAGGGUUUCAUGACCCACUUCUUACAGUGUAUGAAGUAGCUUACAGCAAAAAAAGCCUAAUGACUCUUCUGGGUAACUGAAUGAACUACUUUAAUAAAAAUUUAUGAAGCAGGACCUGGAGGAAUUUUACCCUUAUGCUUCUCAUAUAAUCGGUUAUACAUAUAAUCAGUUAUCAGUUAUCUAUAUAUCCAUGUAUAACCAGAUAUUUCUACAAUGAUUUUAUAAUCCAUGUUUGAAUCGUGAAAGCUUCUGCUUGGCUUAAUAGCAAAUUGCUUAGAUCUGAAAAAUCCAAAAUAAACUUUGUCCCAGUACCCCUCCUUGUUCUCUCCCUAUCUCACUGAACAUAAGGGGGGAAGCAAUAAAUCUGAUGUGCUGGCACAUUUCCCCCCCUUGUCCAGACAGGGUCUGAGCAGUGAAACAGGAAGAUGCUAAUCGCAGAAUGUCCCAGUAAAAGAUGGCCGCAUAGGAGCAACGUUCGAAGUUCCUUUCGUCUAAGUUUUGUUUCUCCCUCCUCGCCAUAAUCAGGGGAAAGGUUAAGACUGCAUGUUCAAACUGUAAAAGCAGAAGUUGGGAGGGAACUCUUUACAUGAUCAAGAGGGAGGCUUGAAUGCACUCAUUAGCUUUAUUUUUGCUGCCGUUUGCAAUUGUAUCCAAUUAUGUCAUGAUCUAUGAUGUAUGUACUCAGGUAUAAAGCCUCUGGGCGCUAGGGCCCGGGGCACAGUCUUUUGGAAAGGAUUCCACUGGGUCAAUUAUUGCUCAGCAAUAAACAUCACUUUCUUUUUCUCCA